UACAGUGGGUGCAACCGUUGCUCGGAAUUAUUGGGCGUAAAGCGCGCGUAGGCGGCUACUUAAGUCGGAUGUGAAAGCCCCUGGCUCAACUGGGGAAGUGCACCCGAAACUGAGUGGCUUGAGUACUAAAGAGGGUCGCGGAAUUCCCGGUGUAGAGGUGAAAUUCGUAGAUAUCGGGAGGAACACCGGUGGCGAAGGCGGCGACCUGGGUAGAUACUGACGCUGAGGUGCGAAAGCGUGGGGAGCAAACAGG
rnacentral:rRNA from 1 species